GACAAGGGUGUAGGGAAUGGUAGAAGCAGAUGCUGGGAGAGAGGAAGUGGUCCUGAGGUAAUAGCUAGCAUCAAAGCCCAGGGGGGAACGACUGAGGUGGCCUCUAAGUGGUAAGGAUGAUUGGAUGACUACACCCCAGCAGAGAUGUCUGAGAGGAAAGGGAGCAAAGAGUCCUGUGGCACCUAAUAGACUAACAGACGUAUUGGAGCAUGAGCUUUCGUGGGUGAAUACCUGCUUCGUGGGAUGCAUGAGAGGAAAGGGCUUUCUCAUGAAGCUGUACAUAAUGUUCCACUUUCUCGUCUGAUCUCAAGUGUCACUGAACAUGAAAAUGAAGCUAUUUAUUACCAGUAGUAGCACUAACAAUAGAAAAAUCAAAGUUUUCUAAAAACAGUAAGUAUUUCAAGGUAAUCCUUCAGUAAUUCUUUCUGACUUGUAUUUUCUUUUCUUGAUACAUGUAAUUCACAUUGACCUUAAUGGUAUUAUGUAGAAGCAUAC